CUAUUACAAUUUUUUUUUGCCCAUGGUUUGUCAGGCUCUCGAAUCUUUAUACACGACACCGGACGGAUUCUCACGUCACACCGCACGCGUGCAGUGCCGCGGACUAUUUUCUGUAACAAAAAAUAAGUUCUUUAGAUUAUAUUCUUUAAUACAUUUGUUAGCU